CAGCAGCCGCGGUAAUACGUAGGGUGCAAGCGUUAAUCGGAUUUACUGGGCGUAAAGCGUGCGUAGGCGGCUUUUUAAGUCGGAUGUGAAAUCCCUGAGCUUAACUUAGGAAUUGCAUUCGAUACUGGGAAGCUAGAGUAUGGGAGAGGAUGGUAGAAUUCCAGGUGUAGCGGUGAAAUGCGUAGAGAUCUGGAGGAAUACCGAUGGCGAAGGCAGCCAUCUGGCCUAAUACUGACGCUGAGGUACGAAAGCAUGGGGAGCAAACAGGAUUAGAUACCCGUGUAGUCCCUGUCUCUUAUAC
rnacentral:rRNA from 1 species